rnacentral:misc_RNA from 1 species
AAGUCGUAACAAGGUUUCCGUAGGUGAACCUGCGGAAGGAUCAUUAACACGUAUCCAACGUUAAACCCCCCGUGAACCUUCAGUGCGCUCGCACUUUCUUAGAAAAGGUAAUUGCCGAACAGUUUUGAUUCAGGGACUUCUGCGUAGACUGUGCUUGAGCGUGAGGCAAGUGGCCUGGCAUUCCUCUGCUUGUUGGUGUCUGAAAGUGUCACCAGCUCUGUACGAAUGGCGCAGUCACGAUCGCUAGAGGCCGACACGGCCGGCGACCGGGUCACUGGGCGCGAGCCCCCCUCGUCACCUUUGCAUGAAAACGGGCCUGCGCUUAAUUGUGCGGCCACCAAACUCGAACAACUGUUAACAAUGGAUAUCUUGGUUCUC